UAAUGUCUGGGAAACUGCCUGAUGGAGGGGGAUAACUACUGGAAACGGUAGCUAAUACCGCAUAAUGUCGCAAGACCAAAGUGGGGACCUUCGGGCCUCAUGCCAUCAGAUGUGCCCAGAUGGGAUUAGCUAGUAGGUGGGGUAACGGCUCACCUAGGCGACGAUCCCUAGCUGGUCUGAGAGGAUGACCAGCCACACUGGAACUGAGACACGGUCCAG
rnacentral:rRNA from 1 species